ACGAAUCAAAUUAUGGUAAAAUAAUUAAACGGGCAUUAUGUACUUAUUUAGUGUAUCGAUUUUCCCGUUUAUCCUAAUUUUCUCACGUUUUUUUCCUUAUUUUACACAUGUUCUGGGAAAACUUUUGAGAAAAUCGAAAAAUAGUCUCUUUAACGUACCUCCCCAGUACAGUUUCCUUUUGGAAAAUUCGCCAUCAUUUUAAACUGGAACAAGAUUUCUGGUAGAAAAGUUGU